GCCAGCAUGGUAUCGUGGUUUGAGCAUUGGACUAUAACUCUGGAGACCAGGGUUCAAUUCCCAGCUCAGCCA